UUCGAAUAAGGAAGCGGUGAAGAGAAAUAGUUUGAUGACGGGAUGAGUGAAAAGGGUGGAAGUGAGAGAGGUGGAUUGGGUGGUGGAAUGAAAGUUAGAAACUUGGGCAUGGAGAUGGGUGCGAUGUAUGACAGUGGGUAUGACAGUUAGAAAGAUGAUGAGGUGAGGGUGGCCAUGCGUUUUGGGCCUCAUGCACUUGGGAAAAUGGUGGGGAAUGAAUGAUAGAUGGUGGGGGUGAUAGGAAAAAUAGUGAGGGAAGUGGAUGAUGGAGGUAUAGAAAGAUGAAAGGAUGUGGUGAGACGGGGGAGAGAUAGGUGGUUCAAUGGGUCUGGAAAAUGGGUAUAGGCAUGAGGGGGCGUGGAAGGUGGGUAUGGAGAUGGGCAGUGGGUACGAGGAUGUGAUGGAGUUAAGCUUUCUUUAAAAAGGAGUAGAUGAGAACCGAAUACCCAAUAAACAUGAAGAGACCCAUUUCAUUUUUCCUUCAUCUGUGGGCUCAAAAAUUGGUUGAUUAAACUAGAAGAACGUCUAAAAAAAAAACGAGACGUGAGGAGAUCCUCAAAUAUGAAAUAAACAAUCAAAAUACAGUUAAAUCAUCCUUGAGUGAGAACGGAGAAGCAUGGAAUGAAGUUACAAUAACCAAACCAAAGCCAACUCACAAACGAUUCAAAGUAACUACCUCAAAAAGAGAUGAGAGAAGUAUGAUGAUAUGAUGAACAAAGAACACAAAUAAUCUUAUCGGGCAAUGCUUCCUCUGCUCAACUCAUUUUCCUUCCCCCCGCAUCGUCUUCUCUGCUAAGCUGCUAAAAUAUCUCUUUGUAACCAGCAGUAGAAAUCACCCAACACGCUCCCACUCACUCUAACAGCCUCCAAAAAAUGCUCAUUUCUUUCCUACCCAAAGUCAUCCUCUCCUCAAGAUACUCCCCCCUAUAGUCAAUCCUCAGACCUGCCUCUACAACCUUCUCACGCAAGUCCCAUCUAGCCGCCCAAAGACAGCUCACCCAUCCUGCAACCACAGUCUUCUUUGGCUGCCCAAGAAUAGCCCACUUCCAGCUGUUUUUACUUCGCCUCCUUUCCUUUGUGGCUGCCCAAGAACGACUCUUUCUCGAGGUGGUAAGAAGAAGACAUGAAGAAGAAAGAAGAAAAUCAUAAAACAAAAUAAAUGCCCCUAUUUCAUGGAGUCUACAAGUAUGCCCCUCUUUGGUAGAGUUCACGAGUGCAAGGAAUAUGAACACUAGAGUGAAAAGAAAGUGUGAAAAGUGAGUGAAAUGAAGUGAACUCUACCGAAGAAUAAAGAAAGACCCUCGAAAGGUACACAAGUAAAACGAAGCUCACUUAUGGCUCUAAAAUCCUAAGAGGAAGGUAGCUCUCAAAGUGCUCCCAAAGCCGCACUAAGGAUCCAAACUCUAUUUGAGAUUUCUCCAAAAGUGACUCGAAAAUCAAUAUCAAAGAUGAGUAAUGGUCGAACCACCUUCGAGUAUAGGAAAGAAUGCGCCCAAAUGGGACUGCCCUAUGUGAACUACAUAAGAAUGCUAAGCAUUGUAUGCCUAACAACAUGACCAAAAUAUGUGCUGCGAACUCAAAAGACUGUGUCAUGUGUAGUGGUAGGGGAAGUCUAGAAGAGCAUGAUGAAUAAGCUAUAAGCACAAGGUAACAAGGUGAGGAAAAACCAAGGACGAAUGCAGAACCAUGAAGGUAAGAUGUGCAAUGCUAGUGAAUAUGAAUGUCAGGAGUCGUGACUCUGAAUGACAAGGCUGAGAAGAAAUGACUCUGAACGCCAAAAUGAUGAAAAAUGAUGACUCUAAAUGCCUGAAUGAGUAUGCAUGACAACUCUGAAUGCCAAAACUAAAGGAAGAUGAUGGCAUCAAAUGCUAAGUAGGAUGAUGGCUCUGAACGCCAAAAUGAAGACAUGGCUUUGAACACCUAAAACUGAUGGAAGUGGCUCUAAAUGGUAAGAACGACCCUAAAUGCUAAACUAAAAGAAAAUGACAAUCCUAAAUGCUAGCCAUGUAGCUCUGAACACCAAACUAAAAGAAAAAGACAACUCUAAAUGCUAGGAAUGUGGCUCUGAACGCCGAACUAAAGGAAAAUGGUGGCUCUGAAUGACAGGUUGACUAAUGGCUCUAAAAGCCAAACUAAAGAUAUGAUGGCUCUGAACUCCGGGAAUGAAUGAUGACUCUAAACUCCAAACUGUGAACGAUGGCUCUGAACAUCAAGAAUGUUGCUCUGAACGCCAAAAAGAUGGCAACGAAUGGCCGAUCGUGAUAGGAUGAUUGCUCUUAAACGCCAAACUGAAAAGAAAUGGUGGCUUUGAAUGCCAAAAUAAGAAGGAAUGGUGGCUCUGAACGCUAAAACUAAAGAUGCGGCUCUGAACGCCAAAUUGAAAAGAGAUGGUGGUUCUAAAUGCCGAACUGGAAAGGAACAGUGACUCUGAAUGCCAAACUGAAGACAUGGCUCUGAACUCCAAACUAUGAAUGAUGGCUUUGAAUGCUUGAUUGCAAACAACGGACUCUAAAUGCCAAACUGUAGAGAGGUGAUGGCUUUGAACGCCCUACUGCGGAGAGAUGAUGACGACUCUGAAUGUCGAACUAAGGACAAACAAUGGCUUUGAAUGCCAAACUGAAAAUACGACUCUAAACGUCAAAAUGGGGAUGACGGCUUUGAACACCAAACUGUGAACAAUGGCUCUAAACGCCGGAACUGAGAAGCGAUGAUGACUCUGAAUGUUGAAACUGAGAAGUGAUGAUGACUUUGAAUGCUGAGACUGAGAAGCGAUGAUGGCUUUGAACGCCGGAACUAAGAGCGAUGAUGGCUUUGAAAGCCAAAAUUGAGAAAUGAUGAUGGCUCUGAACGCCGAAAUUGAGAAGCGAUGAUGGCUCUGAACGCCGAAACUGAGAAGCGAUGAUGGCUCUGAAUGCUGAAAUUGAGAAGCGAUGAUGGCUCUGAAUGCCGAAUUUGAGAAGUGAUGAUGGCUCCGAACGUCGAAACUGAGAAGCGAUGGUGGCUCUAAACGCCGAAAUUGAGAAGCGAUGAUGACUCUGAAUGCCGAAACUAAGAAGUGAUGAUGGCUUUGAACGUCGAAACUAAGAAGCGAUUAUGACUUUGAACGCCAAAACUGAGAAGCGAUGAUGACUUUGAAUGCCGAAACUGAGAAGCGAUGAUGACUCUGAAUGCCGAAACUGAAAAGCGAUGAUGACUCUGAACGCGAAACUAAGAAACAAUGAUGGUUCUGAAUGCCGAAACUGAGAGGCGAUGAUGACUUUGAACGCUAAAACUGAGAAGCGAUGAUGACUCUGAACGCCAAAAUGAAAAUGCGAAUUUGAACACCAAACGGAAAAGAGACAUGAUGGCUUUGAAUGUCAAAUUGAAAAUGCAAAGAGAUAAUGAGGGAGAGAUAUGCCUCAGUGUAGCGUGCUGCUACAACUCUCAAUCCACGAAAAUGGUCUGAAACAGACUCCAUGAGAAUCAUGACAACAUCAUAAAAUAUGGGCCUGAUCGAAUCAUGACAACAUCAGAAAAUAUGGGCUCGACUGAAUUACUCAAGAAAGGCUCCACUGGAGAAUCAAGGCAAAGUGAAGUCAAAUCAUCAGCCCAACGUGCAUCUCGUAACUGGGGAUGGUCAUGCAAAUCAAUGGAGAUCUACAAAUCUCAACCAAAAAAUGAAUAUGCCCCAGUAUGGAAUCAAGUGUGUGAUAGUUCAAAAAAAUCAAAUAGCCUCAAGUCAUCCAUCAUCAAAUGUGUAGUCCUAGUCAUCCACGUCCAUAAUUGAAUUAGACUCACAAAUAAAAAAUGCGUACUUCAAAAGGGGAGGUAUGACGACAUCCGAAUGUCGAAAAAUGCGGGCCUGACUGAAUGACUCAAGAAGGGCUCCACUAGAGGAUCAUGAUAAAAUAAUGAACAAGUCCUCGUAUCGGCGUGUAUUUCGUAAGUGGGGACGAUCGUGCGACUCCAUGAAGAUCCAUGAAUCUCAUUUGAAACGAAAUAUGCCCCAAUAUGGCAUCAGAUAUAUGGUAUGUCGAAAAUGGGGUGACAUGAAAUCAUCCAUCACCAAAUGUGUGAUCUCUGUAAUCCAAAUCGAACCCAAACGUCAAGGAAACAUCUUCCAGAAUAAGAAGCAUGAUGACAUACAAAUGCCAAAAAAUACGAACCUGAUUGGAUGGCUCAAGAUGAGCUUCAUUGAGGGAUCAUGAUAAAAUAAGGAACACAUCCUCGUCUCGGCAUGCAUCUCGUAAGUGGGAGUGAUCAUGUAGCUCCAUGAAGAUCUAUAACUCUUAAUCGAAAAGGAAAUAUGCCCUAGUAUGGCAUCAGAUAUAUGGUAGGUAAAAAAUCGGGUGACCUGAAAUCAUCCAUCAUCAAAUGUGUGAUCUCCGUAAUCCAAAUCCACAGCCGAAUCGGACCCAUGUAUGAAAAGAGACGUAUCCCGAAUGAGAAGUAUAACGACAUCUAAAUGCCAAAAAGUGUGAGUCUGAUUGAAUGGCUCAAGAGGGACUCCACCGGGGAAUCAUGACAAGAUAACAAAUAGGUCAUCGCCUCAGUGUGUAUCUCGUAAGUGAGGACGAGCAUGCAACUCCCUGAAAAUCUAUAAAUCUCAACCAAAAAGGAAACAUGUCCCAGUAUGGCAUCAACUAUAUGAUUGAUCAUAAAAUCAGAUGGCACCAAAUCGUCCAUCAUCAAAUAUGUGAUCCUAGUAAUCCAAAUCCAUAGCUGAAAACGAAUCUAAACAUCGAAGAAGCGUUUCCUAGAAGAAAAGACAUGAUGACAUUCAAAUAUUGACCAAAUCUCAAACACCUGUCCAAGUGGGGGAUGUCGAAGAUGACAUAUGAUCCCAUGGCCUGAAGGUGGUCUUAAGACACGGGACAUAACGUAGGCUAGGGUGAUAGGGUGAUAGAAAUGAAGGGAAGCUAGGCCCAAAAACCCAAUGAUAAAAAAACCCAUGCCCUCAUAUAUGAAAUGCAACAUGUAUAGAAAAUCUCGUGAGUCAUGGACCCGAGGGUGCCCAAUGUGAAUAUGAUAACAAUAACGAGGCAAUGAAGAAAAUCAAACUAAUAAUGAGAUGUGUAAUGAUGAUGCAAAGAGAGUAACAAACCUGAAAAUGGUCGCUGUAAGAAAAGGACAAGGGGUGAAACGCAAUGGAUGAAUCAAAAGCAAAAACAAGAAUGAUGGUAAAGCAAAGAACACGAAGAGGAGUGAUGAUCUGCUCAAAUCCAACAUAAAGUGAAGUCACAUCAUCAAUGAAUGUAAUGAUGGAAAUGACAAUGACACAGAGCUCCUAAGAGAAAGGUCACUCAUCUCACUCUUAAAAUAUAUGAAAUAUGAAUACAAAUAAUGAAAGGUCUCAAAAAGCUCACAUACGAGCUCCCAUCAACAAACAUACUCAAUGAAGUGACCCUCAAACAUCAAUAUACACGCCCAAUGAUGGAAAAUACUAUGCACAUACACACAUGUGUCUAUUUUUCUUUUCAUUUCAUUUAUUUUUCUUUUUUUCUUUUUUUUUUACAUAUAUACAAAUGCACAUACCCUGAACAUGAACAAAAUAAGCCCAAAAGAUGAUAUCAAUGAUGGAUAGACACGCUCUCAAGUGCUAAAGUUACAAAAACUCUCUCUGACGAGAUGACUUUCUCAAACUAAGGAUCUCUGAAUUAGUGUUUAUGGGAUAGAUAGCAGAAAUGAUGUGACUAUCCUCCAUGCAAUGAACUGAGGAGGAUCACCACUCAGGGUGGAGAGAAUAUGAAGCAAAACAAGUAGUAGAUAGAAUAAAAAAGAAGAAGAAGAACAUGACCAAUGAGAUGUGAUGAAAGCAGUAAUGUGAUGGUAGGAAAAAUAAUGAGAGAAAGAUGCACCUGUAGGUCCAAGACUCAUGAGACUCCCAAACAAUGCGUGCAUACACUCAAGGGCCCCUAUCCCAGUGCAAAAAAAGUGAGCAAGAUAAUAAGAAAGAAAGACUAUAAUGCACAUGCGAGACUCAAUGGGCUAACAACAGUCUGUAUGUCAAAAGGGAAUAACAAGGUAUAUGGCUAACCAAAAUGAUGGCCACCCAUCCUACGACCAUGGUCUCAAACAUAGUACCUCUUUAGUUGAUCCAUGUUGGUCGACUCCGAGAAUCGGUUUCCAUCUAGAUCCAUCAACAAUUCAGCGCCUUCUGGGGUCAGCUCCCUAAUGAAGUAAGGUUUGCUCCAAUUGGGUUUGAACUUCUCUCUAGGAUCUCUGAUCAAUCCCUUGAUGACCUUCAGAACCAAGUCACCUCUUUGUAGCAGUCUAAGCUUGACCCACUUCUUAAAAGCAUAGGCCAUCUUCCUCUGAUAGGCACGAACAUAGUCUGUUGUCCUCAAUCUCCUCUCAUCUAGGAGAUUGAGUUGGUCUAAUCGAGCCUGAGCUCAAUCUUCCCUCUGGAAUCUGCUGCUCCAAUGCUACUCUCAAUGAACCCAUCCCAAUCUCAAUUGGUAGCACUGCCUCCAUACCAUGCACUAAGAAGUAGGGUGUGGUUCUUGUAGAGGUGCAAAAAGAAGUCCGAUAAGCCCAUAAUGUGAAAGAGAGCUUCUCUAACCAAUCCUGAGAAGUCUUAACCAUCCUCCGCAAGAUCCUCUUAAUAUUUUUAUUCGCAGCCUCUACCGCUCCGUUAGUCUACGACCUGUACGUAGAUGAUCUAUGAUGCUGAAUACCGUAUCUCUAUAACGAAGUGUCAAGAUCUGUUCUGAAAUGUACUCCUCUGUCUGAAAUCAACUCAUGAGAGACUCCAUAGCGACAAAUCAUGUGUGAUAUGAUGAAACUAGCAACCACAGAUGAUGUCAAUCUCGCAUAUGAAUCGGUCUCCACCCACUUGGUGAAGUAAUCAAUGGAAACCAAGAUGAACUCAUGACCACUGGAAGACUUCGGUGAAAUAUUCUCAAUGAUGUCUAUACCCCAUAUUGAAAAUGACCAUAGUGAAGUUAAUGCAUGUAACUUUGAAGGCGGCAUGUGAAUGAGAUCUCCAUGUAUCUGACACUUUGGACAUCUCUGAACAAACUGACAAAAAUUUGUCUUCAUGGUCAACCAGAAAUAGUCAGUCCUCAUGAACUUACAGGCCAACAUAUGCCCUCCCAUAUGUGGUCUGCAGACUCCCACAUGGACCUCUCUCAUCACUCGAUCGACAAAGACACAGUCUAAGCUCAAUAGCAACAUCCCAUGAGUUGAUCGUUUGUACAAUGUCUCUCCACAUAUCACAAAUUGGGCGGCCAAUUGUCUCAAUGCUCUCUUAUCCUUGGUUGUGGCGGCCUCAGGAUAUGCGCCAAGUCUCAGAAACUGGUAUAUGUCAUGGUACCAAGGUAAGCCAUCAUCAAACUUUGCCUCAUCAAUCAAGCAACAAUAAGCAAGAACUGAUCUCAACUCAAUCAGUAAAGGGUGAACAACGGUAUUUGUGGGAAUAUCAAUCAUGGAAGUUAGAGUAGCUAAGGCAUCAGCGAACUGGUUCUGCACUUUGGGCAAAUGUGUGUAUCUCAAAUCAUCAAAUCUCCAAACCAGUAGCUCCAAGUAUGCAUGGUAAGGCCUAAGCUUAACAUCUCUAGUCUUCUACUUGCCCUGAAUCUAUCUCAAUACCAGAUUGGAGUCACCAAACACCUCUAUCUGUCUAAUCCCGAGCUUAAGAGUUGUCUCUAGUCCCAAGAUGCAAGCCUCAUACUCAACAAUGUUGUUUGUGGUAGGCUGUCGAUCCGAGAAUGCCAAAUGAACAAAUCUAGGAAUGUGGUCACCAUGAGGGGAUAUAAAAAAGACACCUAUCUCAUAUCCAAAAUGGUUGGCCGCACCAUCAAAGUACAUACGCCAACCCGAAAAACUAGUCACAGCAGCAACAUCCUCAUCUAGGAAAUCAUCAUCAAUAGCUCUACCAUCAGAAACUAGUAAUGAGGCUAAGUGAUCUACAACAAUUCUCCAUCUCAUAGACUUCCGAGUGACAUAAUUGAGAAAACAGAGGCUAAGUUUAGUUAAGAAAAACACCCAAAAGGGGGGGGGGGGGUGAAUUGGGUUUUUAAAAUCUUUUCAAUCACAACAAAAUUAAACAAAAUAUAAGCAAAGUAAAGAGAUAGAGUUUAGAGAAUUCAAACUCGGGUUUAUAGUGGUUUGACACUUUCUUGCCUACGUCCACUCUCCUCAACCUCCUAACCGAGUGAGGGUUCCACUAACUUGAAGCUUCAACCAAGCUUCCAAUCUUCUUACACUUGGAUUCCAGUUCCAAUGGGCUCUUACACAACCUCUUCAAGAUUCAACCCUCUUGAAGGCUUUAACACUCAGAUUGUUACAAGAUAUAAUCACUCAACCUAGCUUAAAGAUGGCUCAAAUACAAGACAAAGCUAGGAUGACAAACAAGAGUGCACUAAAGGAAAUGCAAGUGGUGAUUUAAUGCACUUAUGAAAGAAAUGAGAGCUUUUUGAUCAAGAACAGGUAGGUGGGCUUUGAAUGCAAGUGUUCUCUUGUCAAUAAAUGAAGUGGAGCUCUCAAUUUAUAGGUUUCUAACCUUGGGAGUCAAAAACAACAAAAGGCAGCCUCGUCCGGUCGAGCUAGGGGUCGACUGGUUCACUAGCCAUUGGAGCAUUUAAUGCAUGACAGGUUACUAUUGCCUCAACCGGACCUCGACCGGUCCUCGAUCGGACCUCGACCGGACCUCGAUCGGACCUCGACCGGACCUCGACCGGUAAAGGAAUCACCUCGAUAGGGAAGAGAAGACUAUUGGGAGAGAGAGAAGGUUUUUAACUUUCCUCGACCGGUUCUCGACCGGACGACCUCAACCGAUUGACCGGUUCCUCAAUCGGUCGACCGGUUGGCCAUAGGCUCGACUGGUUGAGCCUUUUUGGCCUCGAAAAAUCUAUUUUUUGAUUCCUUUAUUUUCUAACACUUAGGCAAGGUCUUUAGGUAAAUUAUUAAGCCAAUUUUAAAACAUUUUGCCUAAGGUAAAUUAGUUAAAAACUCGGGUUUUAAUGAAAUCAACAUUUUAAAGAAUAAAUCUAGUUUUCUAAGAUGCAUGAAACAUAUGAAAAUCCUAAGUGCACUCAUGCAUUCAUCUUACAUUAGUUUCCUAUGAUUACAAGUCUUCCAAGUGUCUCGAUCUUGUAUCCAUUUGGUCAUUUGAUGAAUUUUCGAGUUUAUACCUGAGAUUCUUAAACAUUAAACCAAUUAGUUACUUAAUCAUGGUUUGUUAUCAUCAAAACCCGAUUAGGAGAACCCUUGGGCUAACAAUAAUGAAUGUCAAACUCAGUUAGAAGUACCAACCAUCUCAUGAGUUGUCCGACCAAAGCGGGAUUGUCAAACAAAUAUCUCAGAUGAUCAAGACGGGAUAUCAAGUGCAUUGAAUACUCGAUCAUGUAAUGUCUUAGUCUCCGAGUAGCCUAAACCAAUGCCAAGUAGUAGUGCUCAAUCAUGACAUAUCUCGUCUUAUAAUCCAACAUUCUCUUACUCAAAUAAAAAAUGGCUCGCUCUUUGCCUGAAUCAUUGAGUUGAGCCAACAUGCAACCCAAAGCUACGUUUGAAACCGACAGGUAUAAGAGUAAAGGAUGACCUAGUGUAGGAGGCACCAAGAUUAGAGGUGACAAUAAGUACUCUCUGAUCCUCUCAAAUGCGCGCUGACACUGAUCAUCCCAAACGGUAGGUUGACUCUUCCUCAAGAGUCGGAAAAUAGGCUCACAGAUGUCUGUCAAUCUGGCAAUGAAUCUGCUAAUGUACUGAAGUCUACCUAAGAAGCCUCUAAUCUCUCUCUUAGUCAUCGGCACAGGCAUGUCAAGGAUGACUCUGAUCUUAUCUGGAUUUGCCUCUAUGCCUCUCUUACUGACCAUGUAUCCCAGUAGCUUCCUAGAAAUCACUCCAAAAGUGCACUUCUUGGGAUUCAAUCUCAAUCUGAAUGGCCUAAUCCUCUCAAAGAAUCUUUCCAAGGCUGUUAAGUGAUCUACUCUAUAUCGGGAUUUCACUGUCAUGUCAUCUACAUAAACCUCGGCAUCCCGAUGCAUCAUGUCAUGGAAUAGAGUAGUCACUGCUCUCUAAUAAGUAGAUCUUGCAUUCUUCAAACCAAACGUCAUCACUCUGUAGCAUUAAGUACCCCACUCAGUAAUGAAGGACGUUUUCUCCAUGUCCUCUAGAGCCAUCAAGAUCCGACUGUACCCAAAAAAUUCGUCCAUAAAAGACAACAUCGAAUGACCUACUGUACUGUCAACUAGCAUAUCGAUGUGUGGGAGGGGAAAAUCAUCCUUAGGACUGGCCUUGUUGAGAUCUCGAAAAUCAACACAAACUCUCAUUUUGCCGUCCUUCUUGGGAACAGGGACGACAUUGGCUAGCAACUCGGGAUACUCGACUAAUGAUAAAAAUCCCACAUUGAGCUACUUCUGAAUCUCCUCUUUCACCUGCAAACUCUAGCGAGGGUGCAAUCGCCUCAACUUCUGCUUAACCGGUUUGACAUGAGGCAGAAGUGGCAAGUGAUGCUUAACUAUGGAUGGAUCAAGGCUUGGCAUGUCCUUGUAAGACCAUGCAAAAACAUCCAAAUAUGAUCUGAGCAACCGGGCGAGGCCAUCCCUCUCAUCUGUAGACAAAUCCAAUCCAAUCCUCAGCUCCCUUGGUUGGUUUGUUGUACCAAAAUCAACAAUCUCAGCGUCUCUUGUGGUAGGUGAAACUCUUUGAUCAAUGGGGUUUGAAUUAGAAGCAGAAAAUGAGUCAUCAUCUGAAUCGUGCUGCACAAUCUCAUCAUCUAUAUCAAAUAUUUGUGAUGUGGGUGAAGAGGGUGUAGAUAAAGUAAUAUCACAAGAGACAUAUAGAUACUCGAAAAUGCUCAAAUCCAUAAAUGAAGAGUCAUGAACAUCGUCAAAACGGGAGACAAAUCCCGAUAAAACAUCAAAUGAAAGAGGUGGGUCCACAAAGUCGAACACUCCCUCAACUGAGCCAAUAGGGCCAUCAAACAAAUCGUCAACAACUAUAAUAUCAUCUGAAAUCUCUAGAAUAGGAGCUGUCUGGAUCUCCUUAGCGAUCUCGAUGGCGGACACCCUGAAGAGAUCAAAUGGCGAAGCAAGCUCGGGCUGAACUACCCCAUCAAUUUGGCUCAUACUCAACGAGCAUCUCAUCAAUGUACUCGUCAUGUGGAACAACUCCAUCUACUAUGUCUCCAAUCUCAACAAAUGUCCCACGCUCAUCGACCUCAUCCGGGAAAUAGAGCGUUAUAAGGCUCAUACGAUCUAGAGAUGAUGGGGCACCCAAUACAGAAGUAGAAGUGUCAGGAGCUCUGUCAUUCAACUACAGCUGGUGGACAAGACGCUGAAGCUCAGCCUCUUGAAUACUGUUGAAUCCCCCAAUGAUCCCAUCCGAAUGUGUCUAUAGUUUUGACGUCCUCACAAAGUAGUCCGCCAAGCUCAUGGUGUAUGGGCGAACAUGAUAGUCAAAAUGUGUGUGAGUCAGCCGGGCUCUCACCCUCUCCUUGCGCAAUCAUGCCAUAUAUUGAUAGUCAGCCUCAGUAGGGAUGAACCUGAGUCCGAACGGUACAUCGUGAUCUAGGAUAGCCAUGAACUCACUGGGCCCAUGCUGACGUCGCCCCAAUCCUAUGUCGGGCAAAUAAGACAUGUUCCUCAUCAUAUCGAGCACCACUAUGCUGUCAUGCUGGUCAAAUGACAUAGCCACAAAGUCUUGGCAAAAAUCCUCCAUCUCUAGGGCUUGCACCUCAUCGAAUGUGAACUCAAUCAGAAAUAGGUCAUUAUCACUAUGAUUGAUCUGAAGCAUUGGUUCAAAAGAAAUGAACAUAUCUCCCACAAAUUGCACUGUGAUGACCUGGCAAUCGUGAAUGAACUUUACCUUUUGAUGAAGGGAAAAAAGAAUAACCCCAGCUCUGUGAAUCCAAGGUCAACCCAAAAACAGGUUAAAGAAUGUAGGAAUCCUCAAAACUUGGAACAAUGUGGGAAAAGUGGUCGGACCUAUCAAUAGCUUAAUCUCCAAAGUGUCCAUAACCUCCCUCUUCGUACUAUCAUAGGCUCGGACUGUCUGAGUGGAGGGACCAAAGUCAGAGGACGCAUAGCUGAGGGCAAUGGCAGUAGCUAGAGGGCAGACGUUCAGGGUUGAGCCACUGUCUAAGAGGAUAGAUGGGACUCGGUGGCUUGAACAAUCGUCUGAGAUAUACAGUGGACGUGUAUGGUCUGGACCAUCGGGUGGCAAGUCAUCAUUAGAGAAUACUAUCCAAAUGGCUCUACUAGCUGUCACAAUGUGAAUCAAUCCCUCCAAUGCGAUGGUAGUCUCGACUUUGAUCUAGCUCAAGGCUCGAAUUAAUGCGUCUCUGUGAGUGUUGGAAGAUGUCAGCAAGCUCCAAAUAGAAAUACAAGCCUAGGUGCUCUGUAAUUGUCUCAGGAUCUCAUCAUCCUCUAUCCUGACCUUCUCAUGAGCGAACAUCCCCUCCAAGGGUUUAGCGGCUGCGGGGGGCUACUGUCGUACUACUCUACCCCCGCGAAUAACAUACUGUACAUCGGAAGUGUGAACAUCAUCAACAUAUGGAGUCUGAACCUCAUCAACAUCCGAAAUCAAGACGAAUGGUGUUUGAACACUGUAAUGUGGGAAAGUCAAUGGCUCAACUGUGGCCAUCUGUACUGAUGCCGCCUUAAGAACCAAUCUGAAUGGUGUGGACAUCCUAAGGCCCAAAGUCACUCUACUUAUCUCAUAAAUCUCAUCUGAUACUAUGGGCUAUAGCUCUGAAUCAUCCUAGCUCAGCAUGUGGAUGUGAUAGUCAAGCUCAACGAAGUCAAUGGAGUGUGUGCCAUUGGCCAAAGGGGGAACCGCGUGUGUAGUGUGGCCCGGUAAUGGGUUUGUGAUUACACUCGACUGACCUAACUGAACCACACCCUGAUCAAUUAGAUCCUGGAUAGCAUGUCUCAGAGCAAUACAACGGUUAGUCUCGUGUCCUGACUCUUGAUGAUAUGCACAGUGUAGAUCCAUUCUGAAUUGAGAUGGGACAAGCUGAGGCAAUGGUCUAAGAGUGAGAGCUAUCAACAAUCCAGUCUCUACGAGUUUCUAAAGAGUCUGGCUCAACGGCAUACCCAAAUGUGAAAACUGUCUCUAAGUCUUUAAAUAAAAAAGAGCAGAGGUUUGCUAAGCUAUAGGUCUAAGAUAGGAUGCUGAAAGUCUCGCGACAAACUAUGCUGCAUAGCAUGGAUGCCUUGUGGCAGAAUAUGAAACAGGGGGCCUCUUUGUGUCUUGUGCGGCGUGGUAAGGCAAUGCUAAUGCAGGAGGUAUGUAGGCCUGAUCAUAUGACUAAUGAGGUGCCCGUGGCCUAUACUGCACACAAGGCGAUGAUGGGUAGUAGAGUCUAGAAGUCUGUCCAACUGUCCGAUAGCGCCUAGGAGGUCUCAAACUUGCCGAACUGAUAGCACCCACAUAUCCUGGUCUUUGUCCUCCUAAGGGCUUCUUUCCCUUCGAAACAGAAGGAAAAGACUCAUACCAUAAUCAUCUGGCUAUGCCCUCUUCUAUAUCAUACAAGGCCUGUACCAAAGAUCCAAAAUCCGUAUGAGGAAAUCCCUUCAAGUGCCUAGCAAAUCGAGGCUACAAGCUCCUCAUAAUCAUGCUAUCUGAUCCCUUUCAGAUGGUCUAUCAAUAACCUGUGAAAUUUUCUCCCUCCAAUUAGAGAUAAAUGAGGUGACUGACUCCUCUGGCCUUUGUCUCAAUGCCUCUAACUCUUUCCUCAAGACGUCAAUGACAAUAUUAAAUGUGAACUGUCUCAAAAACUCCUGGGCCAAAUCAUUUCAAGUCCAGCGGCAUGAUACAUCUAAUGAAGCAAACCAUCGUUGUGUUGUACCACUCAGGGACCUAGGGAAAAACAUAAUCAUUUGGGCCUCAUCCAGUUCAUGGGCCCUCAUGAUCGUACUGUAAAGCCUCAAAUGGAUGCGAGGACAACCAAUCCCCGUGUAUCGCUCGAUCUCUGGCAUCCUGAACUUGGGUCAGCAGACUGGUCACUAGUAGUCCAUCGAAAUCAUCCCAAGUAACAGUUCUGUCUGAAGUCCUCAACUGCCUCAACCUCUGCUCAAGCCUAUCCAUGAGAGCAUGUGGGUCCUCUGAGGUCGGGGUAGGCAUGAUGACAGGAAGCAGGGCAACCUCAGUCUGACUAUUUAGGGUGAAAGGUAUAGCCUGGGGUGCUGACUAAUUGGGUGGAGGGGGUGGUGGCACUGUAAGGUCAUAUUGGGUGUCAUCCUGAGGCGGGCCCUACUGGACCUGUUGCCCAUCUAUCCUCAGACCAAUGCUAGCUAUAGCCUCUUAAACGGAAGCCAUGGCCGCAACAAACUGGUUGACGGUAACUAUUUGUGAAUCCAUAUCUCUUUGAUUUGAUCUCUGGUCUAAUACCCUGAUCAAUCUGCCCCCAACUUUGAUCCAAGAAGUUGAACCCAAACCAAACGUAUCAAUACUCCUACAAUAGUGGAAAUACUUCAUAAGAUACGGGGUAAGGGAAACUCCAUAAGGAAUGUCUAUCAAAUAUGCUGAAAAGUAACCCGGAAGUAAUCAAACUGAUGUCCAAUCCUGAGUAGAUGUAUGAUAGACUACUACGAAGGUAACUAAACCUAUCACUACUGAACCGACUCUAAAGGCCCACAGAUGCACCCACGUGUUAGGAAAUGAAAUCUUGAUUGAAAGAUCUAAGGCUCAACCUAUAGGGUCAAGGUGGCUCUAAAAAAAAAAGGGUGGACUUUAAACUAUCCCUAGUAGAAGCGAUCAUACCCUUCGGAGGUACGCAACCCUCUGCACACCUCCGAAGAGACGAGGCGCUUCCAUGCAAGGUGGUCAUCACCUCCACACAUACACUACUUCGACAUCCUAGUGGGUUUCCUAUGGUGAAAUCUCUCAAAACUCUCAACACUCAGUGGUCAACUAGAGUGCAUAGUGAGCGAUGUGCGUGCAUCCGAAAACCCUAUGAAGCCAAAACAGAAGAGGAAACAUACUAGUCACACAAAUAUCCAUGAAACCUAGCUCUAGGCUAUACAGGUCUUCAAUGAUCGGACUCCAAUCAACAUCAAUGUGUCGGUCUCCUCCAGAAUGCUCCCAAACAUCAAUAUAGUCCGUCGUUAGAUCCUACUCCUAACUUCUGGCUCGGUCAGAGAAACAAGCACACACAAGGCCUCAUACUUGCAAAAGUGAGAACCAAAAUGAAGGGAAUGAUCGAAACAAGAGGGUCAGAGGUAAAGGGAUAGAUGUGCGGCCUGCACAAACAAGCAACAUGCAAUCAUAUAGAAGAAGGGUGGUCAUGCAACAAACAGUCAAGCAAAGCGCAGAUAUAUCAUCCAUGUCCACACACAAGCUAAACGAGAAUAUGACAAUCAAAACAAAUAGUGACAAAGACAGCAUGCUUAAAAAUGAUCAAGACAAUAUACGAGCAAGGAAAUCAACACAUCAAGUCAAAUGAUAUACAGCAAUAAGUCUAUACAUGCAAGGCGAGCAAAACAAUCAUGGCAAAAUCAAAGUCACUAUGCUAAGGCAGACAAAAUAAUCAAUAAACAUAAUCAACAUGUCGAUCUCCCAAAUAAAUAUAACAAUGAAGCAUAGAAAAAAAAAAAAAAAAAAGCUACAUCAGAAUCCUCAAUCAUCAUAAUCAACAUGUCAAUGCCCCAAAUGAACACAAUAACCAAGCACGCAUCCAAUGAUAUCAAGAGCUCUCAAUGUGUAAUCAAGAGAUAGGUACCCACUGAUCGACCCAUCAAACACCACAUUUGCCUCAUCUUAAGUUCAAGUUUGAUCCUCCAGCACGUCCCAAGUGGAGCUGCCAUUUUGUGGACCCUGCAAUUUUGCUCAUGCGUUCCCACUCGAUGGUGAGACUCGUUUUUUUAUUUUAUUUGGUGAAAAAUAUGAUUUUUUUAGAAAAGACUUGAAGUUGCCACUAAUUUUUGUUUUAUUUUUAAAGGGUAAACAAAAUAAGAAAUAAAACCCUAAGUGUGAUUCCUUAUUUAGAAAAGGUGGUCUGUGAAAAACUAAAUAUGAGCUCGGGGGUUAGGUCACUUAUUGGGAAGGUACGGUAAAGAGACCGAAGCACCCCUCUAAGUCCCUAAAAACGUGUCUCUACUAAUAAGAUGAAGCAAGCAUGACAAUUCGUAAGGAAAUCAAUGGAUACCAAAAUGAAAUAAUCAAAUAAUAAAACGAAUCAUGCAUAAGAAUAAGCAAGGCGGGAAUGAGAUCGUACCUUAGUAGCAAUUAAUAGUACGCUAUCAUAGAAACAGGGCCAGCUCAAGUAUAAAAUCAUCACAUGCGUAUCAAAGAGCAAUGCAAAGAUUAGACAAUUCUCAUUAAGCAUAACAACUGACCAUCAGAAGAGAAAACUCAUAUGUAAGCCCCCCACCAAAACCCAAUUUAUUUUGCAUGAAUUAGUCUCACAAAUUCCAUUGCUUUGGAAUUAUGAAAAAUUCAUUCUUGCAUAUGUAAAAUCAAGGGAAACAGAAUAUUAUUUGAGAACCGAAAUGGAAUUAAAACUAUUCAAGAGAAAACUGGAUUUUUUGAAAUUUAUUUGAAAAUUGGAGUCUUGGGAAUUAAAUUUAAGAAUUGGAAUUUUGGAAAUUAAAUUUGAAAGAAAUUGGAAUUUUUAAAAUUAUUUGAGAAUUGGAACUAUGAAAAUUGGAAUCUUGGAAAUUAUUUAAAGAUGAAAAAUUUAAAAAUAAAUAAAAUAAUAAUAAUAAUAAUAAAUAAAUGUGAAAAUUGGAAUUUUGGAAAUUGGAAAUUAAAUUCGAAAAUUGGAAAAUUGGAAUUUCGAAAAUUGUGAGUUAAAUUUGGAAAUUGGAAUUUUGAAGAAUUAUUUAAAGAUGGAAUUUUAAAAACAAACAAAUAAAUAAAUAAAUAAAAUAAUGAUGAAAAUAAUAAUGAUUAAAGAAAUACAUGUGAAAAUAGGAACUUUGGAAAUUGGAAAUUAAAUUUGGAAAUAGGAAUUUUGAAGAAUUAUUUAAAGAUGGAAUUUAUUUUAAAUAAAUAAAUAAAAUAAUAAUAAUAACGAAAAUAAUAAUGAUUAAAUAAAUAAAUGUGAAAAUUGGAAUUUUGGAAAUUGGAAAUUGGAAAUUAAAUUUAAAAUCGGAAUUUUGGAAGAGUUAAUUAAAGAUGUAGUUUUUUUUAUUAAAAAAAAAUAGAAUAGUAAUAAUAACGAAGAUAAAAAGUGAUUAAAUAAAUAAAUGUGAAAAUUGGAAUUUUGGAAAUUGGGAAUUAAAUUUGGAAAUCGGUAUUUGGAAGAGUUAAUUAAAGAUGUAAUUUUUUUUUUAAAAAUAAAUAGAAUAAUAAUAAUAACGAAAAUAAAAAUGAUUAAAUAAGUAAAUGUGAAAAUUGAAAUUUUAAAAAUUGUGAAUUAAAUUUGGAAAUCGGAAUUUGGAAGAGUUAAUUAAAGAUGGAGUUUUUUUUAAAAAAAAAAUUGAAAAUAAUUAAAGUUUGAGAAGUCAAAGUUUUAAAAACUAAAAUUUUAAAAAUGGGAGUUUUGAAAAAUUAAAUUAAAAUUGGAGCUUUGAAAAAUUAAAUUAAAACUGGGGUCUUGAAAAAUUAUCUUAAAAUUAAAAUUUUGAAAAUGAAAUCUUUGGCAUCAAAAGUUGGAGAAAACUAAGAAAGUAAUAAAAAAAGAAAUGGCCUUAGGAUGGCCAAACAUGUACAUGCAUGUCCUUAAGGAAAAAACAAAAAAAAAAAAAGCACCACAAACCCAUUUCCAUUAAAUCUUUCAAACGCCUAGGAGUUCUAUGGUAAUGCUAACACAGACUUCAAGGAUUUUAUUUGGGGUCCUUAGGAAGUUCCUCUGAUCUUCCUUGCAGCCAUGCCGAAAUCUUAGUUUGCAGCAUAUAUACCCAAAAAUCUCUAUCAUUAUCCGCUCCCCAACGUGAAGCCACCAAGUAUUGAAGACGUUAAGAUGGAGUACCGAACGUGCAUAACGUAUGAGAGGGGAUGAAAGAAAGUUCAAAUAAGGAAGCGGUGAAGAGAAAUAGUUUGAUGACGGGAUGAGUGAAAAGGGUGGAAGUGAGGGAGGUGGAUUGGGUGGUGGAAUGAAAGUUAGAAACCUGGGCAUGGAGAUGGGUGUGAUGUAUGACAGUGGGUAUGACGAUUAGAAAGAUGAUGAGGUGAGGGUGGCCAUGCGUUUUGGGCCUCAUGCACUUGGGAAAAUGGUGGGGAAUGAAUGAUAGAUGGUGGGG
rnacentral:lncRNA from 1 species